CAUCCCUAAUCAGACUUCCAAGAAAAACUUCUAAGGUUCGUUUAUAGCAGCCCGUACCGUAAACCGACACAGGUAGUCGAGAUGAGUAUUCUCAGGCGCUCGAGUGAUCCGUGGUAAAGGAACUAGGCAAAUUGACGCUGUAACUUCGGGAUAAGGCGUGCCGCAGUAAUGCGGCCUCAGUAAAAUGGUACAACCAACUGUUUAACAAAAACACAGGGCCCUGCAAAAUCGAAAGAUGACGUAUAGAGCCUGAUACCUGCCCGGUGCUGGAAGGUUAAGGAAGGAUGUUCGGAGCAAUCCAAAGCUUCUGACUGAAGCCCCAGUAAACGGCGGCCGUAACAAUAACGGUCCUAAGGUAGCGAAAUUCCUUGUCGGGUAAGUUCCGACCUGCACGAAUGGUCUAAUGAGUUGUACACUGUCUCUACCACGAGCUCGGUGAAAUUGUAGUAUCGGUGAAGAUGCCGGUUAAUCGCAACGGGACGGAAAGACCCCGUGAACCUUCACUACAACUUAACAUUGAUUUUGAAUGCCAGAUGUGUAGGAUAGUUGGGAGACUAUGAAGCAGCUUCGCUAGGAGUUGUGGAGUCAUCGUUGAAAUACCAACCUUCUGUUAUUUAGAGUCUAAUCCCUUAACGGGGAGACAUUGUUUGGUGGGUAGUUUGACUGGGGUGGUCGCCUCCUAAAAGGUAACGGAGGCUCGCAAAGGUACCCUCAGUACGGUUGGUAAUCGUACGUAGAGCGCAUUAGUAUAAGGGUGCUUGACUGUGAGGCAAACAAGCCGAGCAGGUGCGAAAGCAGGCUAAAGUGAUCCGGUGGUUCUGUAUGGAAGGGCCAUCGCUCAAAGGAUAAAAGGUACUCCGGGAUAACAGGCUGAUCUCACCCAAGAGCUCAUAUCGACGGUGAGGUUUGGCACCUCGAUGUCGGUUCGUCACAUCCUGGGGCUGGAGAAGGUCCCAAGGGUUCGGCUGUUCGCCGAUUAAAGUGGCACGUGAACUGGGUUCAGAACGUCGCAAGACAGUUCGGUCCCUAUCUGUUGUGAUCGUUAGUAAAUUGAGAGGACAUGACCUUAGUACGAGAGGACCGGGUCGUACAUACCGCUGGUGUAUCUGUUGUGCCGCCAGGUGCAGUGCAGAGUAGCUAUGUAUGGAUAGGAUAAACGCUGAAAGCAUCUAAGCGUGAAACCUGCUUCAAGAUGAGUUUACUUUUAAGGGCCGUCGGAGACUACGACGUUGAUAGGUUACAGGUGUAAGGGUGGUAACAUCGCAGCCGAGUAAUACUAAUUGCCCGUAAGCUUUAACGA
rnacentral:rRNA from 1 species